UACAACAUUGCAUUAAUGCACCGGAUCCCAUUAGAACUUCACAAUUAAGAACCAUGCUAGAGUAGUACUGGGAUGGGUGAUUUCUCAGGAAGUCCUAGUGUUUUAA
rnacentral:rRNA from 1 species